rnacentral:rRNA from 1 species
AGCGAACGCUGGCGGCAGGCCUAACACAUGCAAGUCGAACGAACUCUUCGGAGUUAGUGGCGGACGGGUGUGUAACACGUGGGAACGUUCCUUUUGGUUCGGAAUAACUCAGGGAAACUUGUGCUAAUACCGAAUGUGCCCUUCGGGGGAAAGAUUUAUCGCCAUUAGAGCGGCCGGCGUCUGAUUAGCUAGUUGGUGAGGUAACGGCUCACCAAGGCGACGAUCAGUAGCUGGUUUGAGAGGAUGACCAGCCACACUGGGACUGAGACACGGCCCAGACUCCUACGGGAGGGAGCAGUGGGGAAUCGUGCGCAAUGGGCGAAAGGCUGACGCAGCCAUGCCGCGUGAAUGAUGAAGGUCUUAGGAUUGUAAAAUGCUUUCACCGGGGAAGAUAAUGACGGUACCCGGAGAAGAAGCCACGGCUAACUUCGUG